rnacentral:lncRNA from 1 species
AAAAACCAUCAGUAAAGAAGAUGCCAAGCUUGGUGAAAAAAAAAACAAGAUGCCAAGCAUCAGACAACAACAUCAAACUACUUUACAAGGCACCAAACAUUCCUUAAGCCAAAGAGGAUAUAACCAAUGGCCAAGUAAUAUUUAAGAACAAAGAAAUAUUUAAAUUAAAGGGAUUGCAAAGUUUGAAGUUUUUAUAUUGUCCAAUAAUGUGGAUUUCAUUGAAUAGUAUAUAUUUUCAAAAAUAAAAAUAAAAAUAAGAAAAGAAACUUUAAUAUCACUCC